GUAGGUGGCAAGCGUUGUCCGGGAAUUAUUGGGCGUAAAGCGCGCGCAGGCGGUCUUUAAGUCUGAUGUGAAAGCCCACGGGCUCAACCGUGGAGGGUCAUUGGAAACUGGAGAACUUGAGUACAGAAGAGGAAAGCGGAAUUCCACGUGUAGCGGUGAAAUGCGUAGAGAUGUGGAGGAACACCAGUGGCGAAGGCGGCUUUCUGGUCUGUAACUGACGCUGAGGCGCGAAAGCGUGGGGAGCAAACAGGAUUAGAUACCCUGGUAGUCCACGCCGUAAACGAUGAGUGCUAAGUGUUAGGGGGUUUCCGCCCCUUAGUGCUGCAGCUAACGCAUUAAGCACUCCGCCUGGGGAGUACGGCCGCAAGGCUG
rnacentral:rRNA from 1 species